AAGGAAUAUUGGUCAAUGGACGCAAGUCUGAACCAGCCAUGCCGCGUGGAGGAUGAAGGCCCUCUGGGUUGUAAACUUCUUUUACAGGGGACGAAACACUCUUUUUCUAAAGAGCUUGACGGUACCCUGGGAAUAAGCACCGGCUAACUCCGUGCCAGCAGCCGCGGUAAUACGGAGGGUGCAAGCGUUAUCCGGAUUCACUGGGUUUAAAGGGUGCGUAGGCGGGCUUGUAAGUCCGUGGUGAAAUCUCUGAGCUUAACUCGGAAACUGCCAUGGAUACUAUGAGUCUUGAAUACUCGGGAGGUGAGCGGAAUAUGUCAUGUAGCGGUGAAAUGCUUAGAUAUGACAUAGAACACCAAUUGCGAAGGCAGCUUGCUACAGAGUUAUUGACGCUGAGGCACGAAAGCGUGGGGAUCAAA
rnacentral:rRNA from 1 species